rnacentral:tRNA from 1 species
GAAGCGGUGGCUCAAUGGUAGAGCUUUCGACUCCAGUUAAAUCCUGGUUUAUUAGGAAACAAUUGCAAUCGAAGGGUUGCAGGUUCAAUUCCUGUCCGUUUCA